rnacentral:rRNA from 1 species
CCUACGGGAGGCAGCAGUGAGGAAUAUUGGUCAAUGGGCGCGAGCCUGAACCAGCCAAGUCGCGUGAAGGAUGACUGCCCUACGAGUUGUAAACUUCGUUUGUAAAGGAAUACAGUGAGUCACGUGAGCCUUUUUGUAUUUACUUUAUGAGUAAGGGUCGGCUAACUACGUGCCAGCAGCCGCGGUAAUACGGAGGGUGCGAGGGUUAUGCGGAUUGAUUGGGUUUAAAGGGAGCGUAGGUGGGUUGUUAAGUCAGGUGUGAAAGUCUGGGGCUCAACGGGAAAAUUGCAAUUGAUACUGGCAGCCUGGAGUACAUGUGAGGUAGGCGGAAUUCGUGGUGUAGGAGUGAAAUGCGUAGAUAUCUCGAAGAACACCGAUGGCGAAGGCAACCUACUAA